UAUGGGGUAGAGCGGCUUGGUAACUCGUAAAACUCAUAACCUUGAGGUCACGGGUUCAAAUCCUAUCUCCGUAA